CUAGGAAUCUGCCUGGUAGUGGGGGGACAACGCUUUCGUAAGGGAACGCUAAUACCGCAUACGUUCCUACGGGAGAAAGUGGGGGAUCUUCGGACCUCACGCUAUCAGAUGAGCCUAGGUCGGAUUAGCUAGUUGGUGAGGUAAAGGGCUCACCAAGGCAGACGAUCC
rnacentral:rRNA from 1 species